rnacentral:lncRNA from 1 species
AAGAGCAGCAGCCUCUUGAGACCCUGUAGGAGGCAGUGCGGGAAGUCCUGGACAGGAACCAGUGCAAGUGCCAGAAACUUUUGGGAACAGUGGAGCUACAGAUCAGCUUGAAGAACUCUGACCCUCAGAAGGAUGAACGCUUCUUGGGCACUGUCAUCUGAAGUCCACUCGCCGCCCCAGGUUCUCCACGUGUGUCCUGGGGGACCAGCAGCACAGGGUUGAGGCCAAGCCUGUGGGUAUCUCCUACGUGGACAUCGAGGUGCUGAAGAAACUCGACAGGAACAAGAAGCUGCUCAACAAGUAUGAUGCCUUUCUGGCCUCAGGGUCUCUGAUCAAGCAGAUCCCACAAAUCCUGGGCCCAGGCCUAAAUAAGGAAGGCAGGUUCCCUUCCCUGCUGAUGUACAGUGAAGACAUGGUGGCCAAAGUUGAUGAGGGGAAGUCCACAAUCAAGUUCCAGGUGAAGAAGGGGCUCUGUCUGGCAUGGCUCUUGGUCGUGUCAAGAUGACAGAUGAUGAGCUUGUGUACAACGUCCAUCUGGCUGUCAACUUCCUGGUAUCAUUGCUCAGGAAGAAUUGGCAGAACAUCUGGGCUUUACACAUCAAGAACACCAUAGGCAAGCCCCAGUGCCUGUAUUAA